rnacentral:rRNA from 1 species
UACGUAGGGUGCAGGCGUUAAUCGGAAUUACUGGGCGUAAAGCGUGCGCAGGCGGCUCCUUAAGUCAGAUGUGAAAUCCCCGGGCUCAACCUGGGAAUUGCAGUCGAGACUGCCCGGCUAGAGUGUGGGAGAGGGUGGUGGAAUUCCCGGUGUAGCGGUGAAAUGCGUAGAUAUCGGGAGGAACAUCAGUGGCGAAGGCGACCGCCUGGCCCAACACUGACGCUGAGGUGCGAAAGCGUGGGUAGCAAACAGG